rnacentral:tRNA from 1 species
GCGGAAGUGGCGGAAUUGGCAGACGCGCAUGAUUCAGGUUCAUGUGGGUAAUUCCAUAGGGGUUCAACUCCCCUCUUCCGCA